rnacentral:rRNA from 1 species
AUUGAACGCUGGCGGCAGGCUUAACACAUGCAAGUCGAGCGGGGGAGGUUGCUUCGGUAACUGACCUAGCGGCGGACGGGUGUGUAAUGCUUAGGAAUCUGCCAUUUAGUGGGGGACAACAUUCCGAAAGGAAUGCUAAUACCGCAUACGUCCUACGGGAGAAAGCAGGGGAUCUUCGGACCUUGCGCUAAAUGAUGAGCCUAAGUCGGAUUAGCUAGUUGGUGGGGUAAAGGCCUACCAAGGCGACGAUCUGUAGCGGGUCUGAGAGGAUGAUCCGCCACACUGGGACUGAGACACGGCCCAGACUCCUACGGGAGGCAGCAGUGGGGAAUAUUGGACAAUGGGCGGAAGCCUGAUCCAGCCAUGCCGCGUGUGUGAAGAAGGCCUUAUGGUUGUAAAGCACUUUAAGCGAGGAGGAGGCUACCUAGAUUAAUACUCUAGGAUAGUGGACGUUACUCGCAGAAUAAGCACCGGCUAACUCUGUGCCAGCAGCCGCCGUAAGAC